CGGAAGCCGGACCCUCUACAUGGCUGCAGAGAGUGGCCACCUUGACAUUAAUCAAGAGCUCUGAGUGGAUACCAAAGAGCCAGACUGAAUGUUGCAAAGUGAUUAUGGCUUGGCACGCUGUGUUCCGCUGUAUUGAAUAACAAGACUGAUGUGGCUAUCUGUCUCUCAUCAGGCGAGUGAGAAAUUCAACAAAGUGACUCCCAAGAAUAACCUCCCCUUGCUUUUUACGCUGUCCGGGCAGGAACAUCAACGUCGAUCCUUGAGCUGCUCAAGGCAGACUGUGAUCGAAAUGUUCUCACGAAGAACUUUGAAAGUCAAUCCACAUCGCCCGUUCGAAUGGGUCGCGUAGGCGUGCUCAAGCUCUCUCGUUACAACAAAGGUUGUGAUGUUAAUCUCUCGAACCUGUCGACAGCGUCACUCCGCUCCAUGUGGCCGUCAGCGUUCACCAGGACUUUGUCGUCUUCAGUAUUAAAAUAUUCUACCAGCUGUUAGAAGGAAGCUGUAUAUUAAACUGAGAGCAUUUAGCACCCUAGAAACUCUCCUUUAUAUAGGGCAUUAGAACUUGAUAAGAACAAUAUUGCCAUUUGCUGCUAGCAUGGUGCGAUCCAAAUCUUGCCUCACCGUUUGACGCUCAAACGGCCCUGCAGAGAAAAGCUGCCAACUGCAGAAACUGAACAUUGCAGGAAAUGCUUCGCCAAUUGCGGAAUUCAGUGGAAGCGAAGCGAUGGUUGAAGCAUUUCAAUCAACUUCAAGGGGAGAUAACUAACGAUGCAAAAAGUAAAUGAUUUAUUGCGCAAUUGGCGGUUCACGUGACAACCUCCUUACAGAAGACCUGUAGAGGCAGCUCUGAGGCACAUGCUUGGAGAGAAAACUCGGGUACAAGGUUAGCCAGCACUGCCCCAUUCAGAGAAAAUACAGCAUUUCUUAAAUGUUGAGUGAUUUAAUGUGAUAUUUACAUGAAUUACUCUUGUUGAUGCAGUUUAGACAUUGUUUUGGUAUGUUUUUUGCUCUGUGGUGAGCAUUUUGUAGGACUUUCGUUGUUGGUAUCUGACUUCAAGCUCAAGCGCUUUAUCAAACAGACGGUGGCCAAAUAAGUGGUGCAAAUAUGUACCCUCUCCGGUUAUAUCUAUGCUGGGAGAUUACUUGUGUAAUGUCUAUUGUUGUUAAUGGGGGCGGUGGGGUAGCCUAGUGGUAGUUAAGCGUUGGC